AUUGAACGCUGGCGGCAGGCCUAACACAUGCAAGUCGAGCGGGGUUUUCGGACCUAGCGGCGGACGGGUGAGUAAUGCGUAGGAAGCUACCCGAUAGAGGGGGAUACCAGUUGGAAACGACUGUUAAUACCGCAUAAUGUCUACGGACCAAAGUGUGGGACCUUCGGGCCACAUGCUAUCGGAUGCGCCUACGUGGGAUUAGCUAGUUGGUGAGGUAAUGGCUCACCAAGGCGACGAUCUCUAGCUGGUUUGAGAGGAUGAUCAGCCACACUGGAACUGAGACACGGUCCAGACUCCUACGGGAGGCAGCAGUGGGGGAAUAUUGGACAAUGGGCGAAAGCCUGAUCCAGCAAAUGCCGCGUGAGUGAUGAAGGCCUUAGGGUUGUAAAGCUCUUUUUACCAGGGAUGAUAAUGACAGUACCUGGAG
rnacentral:rRNA from 1 species